rnacentral:hammerhead_ribozyme from 1 species
AUACAGCUGACAAGUCCCAAAUAGGACGAAACGCGCGUCAAACUAGAU